UACGUAGGGUGCGAGCGUUAAUCGGAAUUACUGGGCGUAAAGCGUGCGUAGGUGGUUUGUUAAGUCUGAUGUGAAAGCCCUGGGCUCAACCUGGGAACUGCAUUGGAAACUGGCUUACUAGAGUGCGGUAGAGGGGUGUGGAAUUCCCGGUGUAGCAGUGAAAUGCGUAGAUAUCGGGAGGAACAUCUGUGGCGAAGGCGACACCCUGGACCAGCACUGACACUGAGGCACGAAAGCGUGGGGAGCAAACAGG
rnacentral:rRNA from 1 species